rnacentral:rRNA from 1 species
GUGAACGCUGGCGGUAGGCCUAACACAUGCAAGUCGAACGGCAGCACAGUAAGAGCUUGCUCUUACGGGUGGCGAGUGGCGGACGGGUGAGGAAUACAUCGGAAUCUACUUUUUCGUGGGGGAUAACGUAGGGAAACUUACGCUAAUACUGCAUACGACCUACGGGUGAAAGCAGGGGAUCUUCGGACCUUGCGCGAUUGAAUGAGCCGAUGUCGGAUUAGCUAGUUGGCGGGGUAAAGGCCCACCAAGGCGACGAUCCGUAGCUGGUCUGAGAGGAUGAUCAGCCACACUGGAACUGAGACACGGUCCAGACUCCUACGGGAGGCAGCAGUGGGGAAUAUUGGACAAUGGGCGCAAGCCUGAUCCAGCCAUACCGCGUGGGUGAAGAAGGCCUUCGGGUUGUAAAGCCCUUUUGUUGGGAAAGAAAAGCAGCAGGUUAAUACCCCGCUGUUCUGACGGUACCCAAAGAAUAAGCACCGGCUAACUUCGUG